rnacentral:rRNA from 1 species
UCCCAGACUCCUACGGGAGGCAGCAGUGGGGAAUAUUGCACAAUGGGGGAAACCCUGAUGCAGCGACGCCGCGUGAAGGAAGAAGUAUUUCGGUAUGUAAACUUCUAUCAGCAGGGAAGAAAAUGACGGUACCUGACUAAGAAGCCCCGGCUAACUACGUGCCAGCAGCCGCGGUAAUACGUAGGGGGCAAGCGUUAUCCGGAUUUACUGGGUGUAAAGGGAGCGUAGGCGGUAAUGCAAGUCAGAAGUGAAAGCCCGGGGCUCAACUCCGGGACUGCUUUUGAAACUGUGUUACUAGAUUGCAGGAGAGGUAAGUGGAAUUCCUAGUGUAGCGGUGAAAUGCGUAGAUAUUAGGAGGAACACCAGUGGCGAAGGCGGCUUACUGGACUGUACCUGGCGCUGAGGCGCGAAAGCGUGGGUAGCGAACGGGAUUA